rnacentral:rRNA from 1 species
CCUACGGGAGGCAGCAGUGGGGAAUAUUGGACAAUGGGCGAAAGCCUGAUCCAGCCAUGCCGCGUGUGUGAAGAAGGCCUUCGGGUUGUAAAGCACUUUCAGUGGGGAAGAAAGCCUUGGGGCUAAUACCCUCGAGGAAGGACAUCACCCACAGAAGAAGCACCGGCUAACUCCGUGCCAGCAGCCGCGGUAAUACGGAGGGUGCGAGCGUUAAUCGGAAUUACUGGGCGUAAAGCGCGCGUAGGCGGUCUGAUAAGCCGGUUGUGAAAGCCCCGGGCUCAACCUGGGAACGGCAUCCGGAACUGUCAGGCUAGAGUGCAGGAGAGGAAGGUAGAAAUCCCGGUGUAGCGGUGAAAUGCGUAGAGAUCGGGAGGAAUACCAGUGGCGAAGGCGGCCUUCUGGACUGACACUGACGCUGAGGUGCGAAAGCGUGGGUAGCAAACAGGAUUAGAUACCCUGGUAGUC